GACGAACGCUGGCGGCGUGCUUAACACAUGCAAGUCGAACGGGAUCCAAUGGCUUUUUGUUUUUGGUGAGAGUGGCGAACGGGUGAGUAACACGUGAGUAACCUGCCCCCUUCUUUUGGAUAACCGCAUGAAAGUGUGGCUAAUACAGGAUAUUCCAGGCUGGUCGCAUGAUUGGUUUGGGAAAUGGUUUGGUCUGGUGGGGGAUGGGCUCGCGGCCUAUCAGCUUGUUGGUGGGGUGAUGGCCUACCAAGGCGGUGACGGGUAGCCGGCCUGAGAGGGUGGCCGGUCACACUGGGACUGAGAUACGGCCCAGACUCCUACGGGAGGCAGCAGUGGGGGAUUUUGCACAAUGGGCGCAAGCCUGAUGCAGCGACGCCGCGUGAGGGAUGAAGGCCUUCGGGUUGUAAACCUCUUUCGCUGGGUUGAAAGGCCAUGCUUUGGGUGUGGUUGAUUUGAACUGGUAAAGAAGUACCGGCUAACUACGUG
rnacentral:rRNA from 1 species